GAGCCCGCCCCUCUCCCAGGCUCCUGCUCCAGGGCGAACCCGGGGGUCCUCUCCCAUGGCUCUGUGGGGGACCCCGGGGAGGUCGCCCUGGCACGGGACACUGUCGCGGGGUAGGACCCGAGAGGGUCUGGGGCGGUCAGGCUUCAUCCUGAGCACCGCCCGGGUGCAGGGAGCGCUGGGUGCUGGGCAAUACUUUAAAGACACAAAGUCUCAACAACCAUCUUCCGCUUGACGAGACAGAUCAUUCUAAUUUGAGCAGAAGCUACUAUGUCCUGCCCUUUGAACGCGGCGGCCCGGACAGCUGACAAGGACACACUGUGUAUUUCCAUUCCAAUUCUGGGAGUGCUCUGAGGCCUCUGGGGGAGAAGGACCCAUGAAAUAUUCAAAACAUAAGUGAAUAAAAUAUCUAGGUGCUAGAUAUGGGCCAGGAAGAGCCCUCGGCCCUGCAAAGUGUGUGUGAUGGUGAGAAGCUACCGGAAGAGAUGGUCCCUGUGCUUGGUUCAUUCCUUGGACAUUUAUCAAGCUGACGAAUGUAGCAGAGGUGCUUCAGUCGGCUGUAAUUCCACGGGUGGAGUGCUGGCUGGAGAGUUACCUGGGGCUGUCACACUGCAUGGGCUCCGGGACACUGUGGCUGCCCUUAUGUGGUGUCCCCGGAGGGCCCUGCAGGUGUCACACCGCUGCUCCACACUGCCACCUGCUGUCAGCAUCUGUGCAACGUAUCCAGGUCUCUGGGGGCUAGAAUGAAAAACAUGCAUCUCGUAACCAAUGAAAUCGGGCUUGUCCUGAAGACCUCGUGCAUUCAUCCAUUCUCACACUGCUAUAAAGACAUACCUAAGACUGGGCACUUCAUGAAGAAAAGAGGUUUAAUUGGCUCACGGUUCUGCAGGCUUUACAGGAAGCAUAGCAGCUUCCACUUCUAGGGAGGCCUCAGGAAACUUAUAGUCAUGGUGGAAGGUGAAGGCGGGACAAGGCGUCUCACAUGGGAGCAGUAGAGAGAGAAAAAGAGGGGGUGCCGCACACUUUGAAACAACCAGAUCUAACGAUAACUCACUAUCAUGAGAACAGCACCAAGAAGCUGGCGCUAACCCACUUGUGAAGGACCACCACCAUGAUCCAAUCCCUUCCCACCAGGUCCCACUUCCAACGUUGGGGAUUACACUUCACGUUUCUCCAUCCAGCUUUGGCUCCUCG
rnacentral:lncRNA from 10 species